CCCUCCUCCGCCCCCAACGGCAUGCUUGUCUUCGUCAGCGGCAAUCUCCAGCUCGCCGGCGAGCAACACGCCCUCAAGUUCAGCCAGGUACACUCUCCACCAUCCCCAUUCCACUUUUUCUCUCUCUGAUUGAUUUCAAUUUGUAAUGGAUCUGCGAUUGGCUGAAGAGAGUGCGACUUUUGGCCGUGCUGCUUUUUUGUAGUUGGUUCACUUACUUUAGUGUCAGAUAUAAAUAUGAAUUUGUACACCGUGAAACUAAAUUCUUGAUUAUCUGGGUGCUUUAAUCUAUGGUAUCAAUGUGAUAAUAAUUGCAGAUACUAAAAUAGUUUAUUGCCUGUGAUUGACAUUCUAGGGCAGCUAAUUAUGCAUUUCAUCCAUCCCUGUAUUAGAAUUAAAAUUGGACUAUAUUAAUUAGAUCAAAGAUAUUCUUGGAAUGGCUAUGGAUAUCGUACAGAAGAUCCCUUGCAUUAGAUAUUCAAAGUAUACUUGCAUCUUUACUCACGUCCUGCAACUCGCUUUGAUGGCAGCAAUGAUCUCGCAAACGGUUCAUCAACACAAUCUCCUACAUCCCAUACUAUUGCCUGGUAGGCAAUUACAAUUCCCCUCUUCUAAGCUCAUGGCCUAUCUUGAACCAAGCUUUCAUUUUGCAGCCUAUGGUGUCCUUUGAAAUUGAGUUGUUUCUAAUGUAUCCACAAUAGCAACUGAUGACAGGGUUUUGCCUUCUUCUCACAGCUUUUGGUUUUCUUUUUUCUUUCUUGUCCUCCACAUCUUUUCUUUGGAAAAGAAAAUCCAAAAAUUAAAAGAAAAAGAUGCUCUCGCAUGAUCUUGUUUGUUUCCUUCGUCUCCUAUCUUAGUAGUUGAUACUGAUCUAGACCAAGAGAACACCUUCAAAUCCAAUUUAAUAUAACCAUAGCAGUCUUCAAUUUAACUUUAAUGUAUCUAUAUAUGAAAAAUUUUAAUGUUGUCCAGAAACAAGUAGUUCUAAAUUUUCAUUGGUCAGCGUCUGUGAUUAAUUGAUUGUUAAUUUGUUAGUUUGAAGUGAAACAGACCUCUGGGAUAAAGAAAAAAUGGAGAUCUUUUAUGUAAUACGGAUACAGUGAUUACAUGCUUAUGCCCUGACGGUGAUAUUUGGUGAUAUUGUUAAUUUAUUUCUUGUGUCUUAUUUGUUUGGUCAGUACUCAGUAUGGCAUUUCCAAGAAACGAUUACAGGGAGCCCUCUUUUACUUAUUAAGAACAUAUUAAGAAUAAUAUAUUUUCUGUUAACAGCAUAUGGGGAAAUAAUUAUUACAUUCUGGCGGGAACCUUCUCCUUAUGUGAUUGUUCUAUUCUAUCUUCUUGUAUACCAUUUCCCAAUUUCUGCUAUCUCAUGAUGACUAAACUUGUCACUCUCCUUUCCCAGAUGUUCCAUUUGUUACCAACACCACAGGGAAGCUACUAUGUUUCAAACGAUAUAUUCCGGUUGAACUAUGCUUGAAGAUAGAGUAUGGCAUAUGUGACCUGAAAGGUAGAAGUUUGCCUAUGGGCUAUAGCUGUUUCAUAUCGUGACAUUUGUAAUUGAAAAUGGAGUUUCUUUUUGGCUGGAUGUGAACGAUUAGUUGUGCCAUUUCUGUUUAGAAUUUUAUAUUGUGAUUGGUUCAAAGUCGUUGUAAGGACAAAUUAUCAAAAGAUUACCGGGUAUGAGCUGAUGUUGAAAACUUUGCUAGAUUUCUGUUCUCAGAACUGAGAUAUGGGAUGGGGUCCAAGCAUCUCCUUCAUGUUUUCUUAACAAAUUGGUUCAUGCAUUUGAUUGAACUGCACCAGGAAAUCAAAUUCCUUCACCCGGUAACUCCAUUAGUGCAGCAAAUAUUGGCUUCGGUAGCAUAUUUGAUGGUAUAUCAUUUCUGAAUGCUCAUUUACGUAAUUAGUACCGGGUCUGAAACCGACAUCUGUGGCCAUUUACCGAUCGUAGCACUAAUUGAACUGUUUCUUGUUUUCUUUUCUUUGUUUUUGGUCGUUGACUGUUUCUUGUUUUCUCACGCUUUCCAAAAUUUAGAAUGCAUUUGGCUCCUGAAGAGUGAUUUUAUCCAGUGGAGUGGUAGAAAAAAUUCAUCGUUUUGUGCCGCCAUGUAAUCCUUCAUUGCGUCUAGAGGCAGCAAAGGGAAGAAAAACGAGAUUUCAACUUCUGGAUUUUUAAUAACAAAAAUGGCUUCUAAUUUAAAAACCGAUAUGUUAACAAUGCAUGUUCUUCUAUCAUAUCCAGUUUCGCUAAAUAGCACACCAAUCAUAACCAACGAAAGAAAAUGGUGGUUAACAUCUGGAAAACUGCAAAGGUCGACCGUCCAGGCAUGGAAAUAUAGAAAGGGAUUCACAUCAUUCCCGCUCGAUUCAAUAUCAAUCCCUGCAUUUAAUAUUUUACAAAGCAAUGUUAAUCGACACUCACUAUAUAAUUGGCGUGGUUAUGCUGCUGCUGAUACUCGCCGAAGCUGGGAAGGCUUCAAAGCAUUCAGCCAAGUAGGGCUUCUUGGUACUUACCCUCCAAUACUGAUCUAAUCAAUUUGAUUGUAUCGGUUGAAAACAGUGUUUAAUUGUACACAAUAGAUGAAAAUUAUUUAUAUCAGACGCAAUUCUGUUUAGGUAAUGUAGCAUAACUUUAUUUAAGAGUUAUUUAUAUUAAUUAAGAAAUUCUAAUAUACCAGUCGAUAUGUCCGAGUGGUUAAGGAGACAGACUUGAAAUCUGUUGGGUUUCGCCCGCGCAGGUUCGAACCCUGCUGUCGACGAAGUCUUAAUAUUUUUAGCCUUGAAAGAUAAAAUUUUUUAAUGCUAAUUAGCUAACUAAAUAAAAUGAAAAACGCCGGUGUCUGUUACAUGUUAUAUUAGGAGUGUGGGUUAGGGUUGGUACUUGGUAGGGAGUGAGAAAGAGAGAUAGCGUAAGCGUUAAGCGGAAGGAAGGAAGAAUGGAUCCAGAUUCGUUGGCGAAGGCGUUCGUUGAGCACUACUACACCACCUUCGACAACAACCGCGCCGGGCUGGCCAGCCUCUACCAGGACGGCUCCAUGCUCACCUUCGAGGGCCAGAAGAUCCAGGGCUCCCAGAACAUCGUCGCCAAGCUCACCUCUCUCCCUUUCAGCCAGUGCCACCACUCCAUCACCACCGUUGAUUGCCAGCCCUCCGCCGCCACCAACGGCAUGCUCGUCUUCGUCAGCGGCAACCUCCAGCUCGCCGGCGAGCAACACGCCCUCAAGUUCAGCCAGGUACACUCUCCUUCAUCUUCAUUCCACUUUUUCUCUCUCUGAUUGCUCUUCUGUGUUGAUUUCAAUUUGUUGUGGAUCUGCGAUUAGCUGAAGAGAGUGUAUUUGGUCGUGCUGCUAUUUUGUAGUUGUCUUUUGCUCUUUGGUUCACAUAAUUCCGUGUUACACAUAAAUUCUUGAUUAUUAGGAUGCAUUAAUCUAUGGUUUAGGGUUGUGAUAAUUAUUGCAUAUAUUAAAGUAAUGCUUGAAUCAGAUAUGCAUUUGAUCCAUCCGGCUAUUAGAAUUUAAAUUGGAGUAUAUCAAUUAGAUCAAAGCCGUUCUUGGAAUCAAGAACGGCUAUGGAUCAUUAGAUCGUACACAAGAUCCUUUGCAUUAGAUAUUCAAAGUAUACUUGCAUCUUUACACCCCGUCCUGCUUCUCUGAGUUACAGUGUGUCUUCAACGCGCUUUGAUGGCAGCUAAGAUCUCCCAAAUGUUUCAUCAAUUCAAUCUCCCACAUUCCAUAUUAUUAUCCGG
rnacentral:lncRNA from 1 species